AGUGAACGCUGGCGGUAGGCCUAACACAUGCAAGUCGAACGGCAGCACAGAGGAGCUUGCUCCUUGGGUGGCGAGUGGCGGACGGGUGAGGAAUACAUCGGAAUCUACUCUGUCGUGGGGGAUAAUGUAGGGAAACUUACGCUAAUACCGCAUACGACCUACGGGUGAAAGCAGGGGAUCUUCGGAACUUGCGCGAUUGAAUGAGCCGAUGUCGGAUUAGCUAGUUAGCGGGGUAAAGGCCCACCAAGGUGACGAUCCGUAGAUGGUCUGAGAGGAUGAUCAGCCACACUGGAACUGAGACACGGUCCAGACUCCUACGGGAGGCAGCAGUGGGGAAUAUUGGACAAUGGGCGCAAGCCUGAUCCAGCAAUACCGCGUGGGUGAAGAAGGCCUUCGGGUUGUAAAGCCCUUUUGUUGGGAAAGAAAUCCAUCUGGUUAAUACCCGGGUGGGAUGACGGUACCCAAAGAAUAAGCACCGGCUAACUUCGUGCCAGCCGCCGCGGUAA
rnacentral:rRNA from 1 species